ACCGGGGAACUUCAGUUCAAGGUCGGUGGAUGCCUAUUGAUGUCUGCUGUGUGAUCAAUAAGCCGUGAUAGACGUUGGUUCCGUGACGACGGAUGCAGCAUCCGUUGAGAAGUCUUUUCUGUACUGAGCUUUUAGAGAGUGAAGUAAGCGUUGUUUCGAAAAUGUUACACGAUUUUCGAACUCAAGUACGAGCCAGAAAUACAACAGCAGUAUUAUUUAUUGGUACAAAUAUCGCAAAAGUGAAGUGGAAGUUGCCUUGUCUUCAAGGAGAACUAAUUCGGCAUGAAAAGACAAGUAGUAAAUGCUACUAUGUGGUGAGUAUUUGAAAAUACAAAAAAGUAGCUUGAUGAAGACUGAAUUCCUCCUCCCCCAGUUGGAGGAAAAGAGGACAGACCAAUAAGGAGCUGGAAAAGUCCCUAAGGGCUUAAGUCCAGGUGUUACACAUAGUGUGCCAUGGAGAACCACUGAAGUUCUGUCUGCUUGACCAGACGUGUAGAGUGGAGUGUUAAAAUAUGUGGUUAUCAGUAAGAUCUGAUUUUAAGAAGAUGAAACUAUUCCACCUGCAAGUCUGCAUGACCAAGUUGAUGAGAGUGAAGUUUCAGAUAGUAAAACAAAAACUGUAUGAUUUGGAAUACACGUUCGUGUGUUGCAGAGUGGUAAGUUACAUCUUUGAUGAAAAAGUCUUUUCUAAUUUUUUCAAAAAUUACCACAACAGUAAGAAUAUUGCCCCUCCCCCCCACCCCCUCCCCUUUUGAAAACUUUACAGUUACAACAAUUAAGAAAUCUGAGCCUGUUUCAUGGUAGUAUGAGCAGGCUUAUGUUGCAGAAGUGAUACUGCAUUGCAAAUUAGACAAAGUGGAGAUAAUUACAGUUCAAAUUCAAUAAGUGAAAGAUGAAAAUUGGACAAAAAGAGCAAUCAACUGAUUAAAUGUGGUCAGCUGUAAUGUAAUGAUUUUGUUCUCAGUUUGGUGUACUUGAUAAAACAAGGCAAUUGAGGUGGUUGUAUCGUCACUCACUUUCCCAUCCAAGCAAAACAGCUGUUAGUACCAAAAACCAGUGACUUUCCAUGUACAUUGUGUGAUUAAAAUGUCUUGCAUUAUUAUAAGAAUUUUGUGUAUAACACUGAGUGGUCCAAGUUCAGUGAAUCGUCAGGGAAUUUUUCAUUAAUAGUCCAGGUCCUUGCCAUACAGAUUUUGGCAACUCCAACGUACCAAGGCAAAUGCAAGACCACCAGCAAUCAUCCCUCCCUCUCCUUCAUCCCUCCGCACCUUCCCAACUUCACUUUUGUGGGUCAUGGUCCUGUUUAUUUUCCAUACAGUGUCAGAGCUAAGUAUGUUUUAAUACAAUAGGACACGAAUUAUUGCUGUGGAAUAGGUAAAUAUAUGUCUUCAGGAAACAUAGAUACUCAGUGGAUUUAAUAGCAGGGUAAUAAGGAUGUAGAAGCAGCAUGUUGUGAGAUAUUCUAGUCUGAACUUUGUGCUGUGGGGAUAACUGUUGACAAAUACUUCAUAGACAGCAGCCCUCAUGGACCUUGUUCAGAAAAUAUAUUUCAAACUCUAUGACUAUUAUGAGGAUUAAUUUGAGAUAUCAACACAUUAAAUAAUAGGUACAAUGUUAAUGAGCUGCAGGUGCAACAUGUGUGGACCACAUGAAAUACCAGAGGUGUAGAGCCAAAAACUAUUUUGAAACAUGAUGAUUUAAACCAAAUGCAAAUAUUACAAUGUGUCAACAAAUCUUCUGAGGUAAGUAGUGAUACAGCAUUCGAGUACCUGGAAGAAUUUGUGUUGCUUCAUAGUGAGUAAAAAUUUUGUUCUGUGAAGUGGUCUUUGGGUUAAACAACAGCCUCUAUUUUUGUGUUGUUGUUGUUGGUGGUGGUGGUUGUGGUGGUGGUGGUGGUGGUGGUGGUGGUGGUGGUCAUUUGUGCAGACUUACGCGUAACAGGUAAUUAACCAAUCGUUGAGAUAGUGCCAUUUGUUUACUAUGUAAAGCAAACACCGCUAAUUCAUAUCUUUUGGUAAGUAUCAUUUUUGCUGUGAAAUUCCAAAAGAAAUUGGAUGUGAAAGUUAGUGAAGUGAAACUUACAGUAUGUGGUAAACAAGAGAAUGGAGUUAAAAAGAUAGUGCCUUUUGUUUACUAUGUAAAGCAAACACUGCUAAUUCAUAUCUUUUGGUAAGUAUAAUGCCAAAAGAAAUUGGAUGUGAAGUGAAACCUACAGUAUUUGGUAAGCAAGAGAAUGGAGUUAAAAACUUGUUGGAGCUAAUAACAAAGGUAAAUAGCAUUGUUUUAUGUCAUCAUGGUUCAAAAUAUGUGGCAAAUGACCAACAGUUGCAUGUAAUGCAUUUGUACUUUCGAGUUGGUGAUAGGUGGAGGUAAUCAGGGUUAUAGACCAAACAUGCGUUGUUUCUUUGCUGAAGAUUAGUUAGAGUAUAUUUGCUGAGUCCUGUUGUCUUACACCUUUCCUUUAUCUUGACAUGUUCCUGCCCUUUUUCAACCUCUUUACGAAGAUACAAAAUUGCACCAUGCUUUGCUAGUAGCGAGUCACUGGUUCAUUGGCAUUUCACCCAAGGUUAUCCUGUUAUUUAUUUAGGUGUUACAAAUUGUGGGAUACCAUGCUGCAUUGUUUUCACUUAGACCAUGCCAAAAGGAUUGCAGCCUAUUGCACUAAGACAUUAGAUGGCGUUAAACCAUGAUCAGUGUGGGCUAAGUGAAUAUAACAUGGUUAAUCACAUUCAGGGUUUUUAGAACAGGAAAUAGUUGAUUUUUUUUUGUACCUAUGUAGGUAUGUGAUACUCCACAAAGGCAUCUGUAUUAGGUCCAGAAACAGGUGUGUGUGUGUGUGUGUGUGUGUGUGUUUUUGAAUAUGUCAGAGGAAAUGAAUCGUACUUCCACUGACUGUUCUCUAAAAUUAAUUGUAAAUUUGCUCCAGCAUAAUGAGCAAAACAAUCAGUGAAUAAAUGUAACAGGCAACUGCUUCAGUGGCGUAUGAUUUAUUUCUUUUUUGCUACUGGGAAAAAGGUUAAAAUUACUUACUUUUACAGUUGCCCAAAAUGGACAAGCAGGUAUGUGAUGAAACACUUUGAAGAUUAUUACAUCCUGUUGUAGUAUUGUGGCUAAGGACAUUCCAGGCAUUAACAAUGGUACUCAUUUACUGCCUUAGGAAUCUGAAAGUGUAUUCAUGUGUAUGUCGAGAUACCAAAACCGUGCGACUCAAAUCUAUAGUUCAGUGUCCAUACCUUACAGUUAGCAUAACAGUGUCAGUCACAGGUAAAAUUUGAUUGACAAAAGUAAACUGUUGGAAGUGCCAAGCAUAAACAAACACAAAACUGUUUGAGAUGCUGCAAAUUCAGUCAGAUGAUUCAUUGUUCAAGUCAUUGUAUGAGGAGGAAGGCAGUGAAAACCAAGAACAAAAUUUCCUGUGAAGACAAAAUUGUGGUAUUACAGCAGUUUGAUAUCAGAGUUUAGUAUCUGGAGUGUUAAGUGUGUUAUGCGUGGUUCACUUGAUUUAAAGGCGAGAGUGUGUAGUAGGAUCUGCUGUAAAAUAAUUCUUGGAACAGUUAACACUGUAAGAAAUAAUAAUUUAAAAAAACAUAUUCUGUGAAGUGAUGUGAAACAGAGAAAGAAAUUUGUUUUGGUGCAGUAGGUUGUAAAAUUAUUUUCAUUCACUGCAUGCAGAGUUCAAUACUUGAGGGAACCUGAAUGUGUUAAUACUGGAUAUUGGCUUCACACUGCAACUUAAUGGUGUUGCGGCAUGUGGCGUGUAAGCACAGUCAGAGAGAGAACAAAACACUGACAACAUCUUUAAAUGUCUGCAUUAGUUUUUGGAAUGUAGAUGGUGGUGACAGAGUGAUCUGUAGCAUUGACUAAAGUCAACAUUUGGUUGAAAUGUGACAGUUUGGUUGUGAGUUUUGAACGUGGUAUUGAAUGUUUCAGUGAAUCCAGUCUUUCAGUAACAUGGCGAAAAGGAGAAACAGUGAUGCAACGUGGCGUGAAAAUUUCAUAGUUUGUGAAUAGUUGGGAUGUGUGUUUGUAACAAUAUACAGUACAGUAGGUAGUCUUCUUCAGAGAGUGUGUAAUACAUCGUGCUGUUAGCUACAAACUACAUGACAGCGAAGUGUUUUAUUUGUGAAGCAGUUGCUACAGUUUUGAAUGUUAAAGAAACCUAGUAUUUUCAUAGUCAUAUGUAAUAUUGGAAGCAACCACAGGUUAACUGCAAGAAUAUAACGAGUGUUGCUAUACGUUCUGAAUUUUAUGCAUCUAUGUGGUUGAAGUGUGAACAGUAUGCUGGUGGUGGUGGUGUUGUGGGACUUCAUAAAUGUGCAAACAGAAAGAUUUUGCCAAAAUUUCUUGGUUUUAGGAGUGUGUUGUGGUUACAGACUGAUAGUUUAUACAACCUGAAGUCUAGAUAAGGUAGAAAACUGACAGUUUGGUUGUAAGUUAACAAAGCCAACAAAUAUGUAUGCAAAAAGAUUUGGUGACAUACAGAUCUAUAGCAUAGCUGCAGGCCCAUGUUAGGUUGAAAGGUGACAGUUUCGUGUGAUAUAACGAGGGGUAUACUCAAAGCAGAUAAUAAACCAACUGAACCAUAAGGUGUAGAGAGUACUACUACUUCCUUCGUCUGAUCAUGAAGAAUCCAUUCAGCUGUGUGUGUGUGUGUGUGUGUGUGUGUGUGUGUGUGUGUGUGUGUGUGUCCUCUAGGUAUAUCACUUUGAUCUAGUAUGAAAGUUCUUGCUCUGACAAACUUUAAUUUUGUUGUGAAGCGUGUGGUGUUUCUAAUGAUUGUCAAGAGAAUGGAGGUUUGCUUAAAGUUUUAGAUGUAAUACAAGACAGGAUUAUUCAAAACUAGCAUCAAUUAGUGUAUGAGUGGUAACUGCUGCAGUGCAGAUUAACUCACAGUUAAUUGGAAGAAGUGGGAUUUUUUUCGUCUCAAGAAUGAUGUCUGAACUGCAACAGUGUUUUUUUUUUUUGUGAGAGCAAUUAAUAAUGUGCUUUAUUGAGUACUCGCAUCUCUCUGUCUUGCCUGGUGUUGUGAUGUGAAUCUUACGCUUUUACUUUAACAAUGAGGGAUUGGGGAGCAAGUGCAUUUUUUCUUAUAAUAGAGUGGAAUGUAAGAAGUGUCAGAUUAAUGUAAUGGUAUGUUUAACAAAAUGAAUUGAGGGGAAUCACUGAUAAAAAUUAAAAUAGGCUUUCUUAUGCCAUUGGUGCUAAGGUCUUGAAAGACAUGCUGUUGUUUAAGUUUAUGCAGUAUCAGGUUCAGUUAUUUUCACUUGGGAUAUCGCAGAGUGGUUGCAGUGCUGUGCUCAGUAAUGUAGUGAAAAGUGCAGUUGUUGAUUUGAUGUGAUGAACAAAUCACUUGUGACACCUUGUUGAUAUGUGAAGAAGCUUGUGAAGUGGCAGUGUUAAAACUUGUGCGAUAUUAUAUAGUGAAGUUGUGUUGCAUAGUGUAAAGAAAAAUUGUUCAGUAGUUCAUAUGGGAUGUUGUGUGCGAUUCAUAUGUGUAACAUGCCAGUAAAUAGAUAAAAAACAUAUUCUUAGUAUAUGAUACAGUGGAUAGGAAUGCUGUUACUAAUCUGAGUGAAACCUUCAAAUAACCAGUUGGCUUGAGUUGAUGGAAGUAGUAAAUAGUGCAAUGUGAAUUUUUUUAGAGGCGAUUUUGAAGGAGGAAUUAGGUAGACAUGAAUACAUAAAUAGAAUUUAGUACUGAGGUGAGUAAGCAGGGGGUCUACCAGUGAUUUUGAUUAUGGAAUUCCCAGUGUAUGUCCAUUUUGUUAAAAAAUGUACAUCAAUUAGCUACAGAUUUUUCACUCAGAAUUUCCAUCGACUGUUAUUUCACUAUUUUCUGUAUGGUGCACACAGGGACAUUCAAUUUUAUCAGUUUUCUCCCAUUAUACGUGCACUUUAUAAACUUGAUUUGAGGAGAUAGUUGUGGCGUAAUGUGCUAUUCACAUCACAUACACAGAGUGCAUAAUGGAACUGUGCACAUAGACCCUAGACAGUCAGCUAUUAGCAGAAAGCCACAUGUGUCAGUGACGUUAAUAGACCUGAAGCUCCUUCUGAUGGUGGCUGAAUUUCGUAUGCAGUCAAAGGAUGCAGAAACAGCUCGGUGUGUAUUCUAAGCGAGUGUGUUGUGCAUUAAUAAACGCCAAAGUCAGUAAAAAAUUGUGAAAAUGUAUAAUCUUCACACAUGACUGCAAACUGGUCAGUACUAAUAACAGUGAUAAUACUUUUCUCCCUUCAUGCUGUGCCACAGUUUUUUGAGUUUAUUAAACAUGUGUUAAUUUUGUAGACUUCAUAAAGCUGUGACUUCAAAUCAUUUUUAAUACGUUAACCGCAUGAACUGUGGAACCUUCAUUUAUGAUCUGUCAGAGAAGAGUUACAGAAGACAGAUCAAACUGUGGUUAAAUGAAGAUUUUCAACAUUGUAAUGGUGAGUUCAUUGAAAUGGUGAGCUUCACUGUUUUGAACAGGAUGUGUAAGAGACAAUGGCUUUACUUUCACUUGUAACGCACCAGAAGUGAAUGACACACAGAGAAAUGAUGUGUUGUGUGACAGUGGGCAGAAUAAUCAGUGGUGUAUGUCAGAUUUCUUGUAGUGUUGGAAAUAAAUAGGCCAAAGACUAACAGCAGUUGACUGGUUCAGAAGUGAAGUUAUCAUCACUUUUUUUUGUGUGACCCCAGUGGUGAGGAACAAUGCCAGUGAAACAGUGUGAACAUCACAUGACACAUUUGAUAGUUAAUUUCACAAUAAAUGUGCACAUGAAAUAUCUUGGGCAUUUAUAACAUACAAUUGUGUGCAUCAGGAGGGAGGCUGGGAGUGGGUUUUAUUAAAACAAAAAAUGUCGUCUUUAUUAUGUUGUCAUGUACCGUGAAUCAUCUGUGUUAAAAUGUGGAAGAAAACACUCAAUGUGGUGUGAUUUGUUUCGCUUGUCAUAUAAUGUUUCAUUGAAUGGUAGUAAUAGGAAACUCAUUCCUAGGGAUAUAGAAGUGUAUCAAAAAUUUGUUUCACUCAUCAUAUAUGUGAUACAUUGGAUGGUUAUAAUAGGAAAUACAUUCGUAGUGAUGUAGAAUUGAGUCAUAAAAAGUGCAUGUUCACCACAAACAAGGAACAUCGUGAAUGAAAUUAACGAUGAACUAAAUGUUUCAGUACAGAAUAUAAUUUGAGUUAAUGUUAGCUGGAUGCAAAUAUAAUUUGGAAGGGCUUCACAUUUCAUUUUCAUUCACUGCAGCUGGAGCAUCAGGUCAUGAUUUGUGCACAUAAUUUCACUAUAUUUCAGAAGUUUCACAAGUUAGCUAUGGAUGAUGGAAAAACUUUGUUGUUUCAUUUUUCAGUGCACAUCCUUCGAUGAUAUUAAAGUGUCCUCGUUGCCUCAGUGAAUACAUAUAAUAACUUUGGGUUUCUUGUAGAGUUUGGGUUUGGUAUAGAAUGGUGUGGGGAGUAUUGUCUGGUCAGAUGUUAGAUGAAGCUUUCAAGAGGCUGCCUGUGCAGUCUCAAGCUGUUGCCAGCCUGAAUUUUCUUCUAUGGAUAGCAAAGCAGAAGUGUGGGGUCCAAAAUGUGUAUAGUUUCACAGGUGUGGUAAGAUAUGGGUGGUUGAAUGUCCUUCUGCUCCCACAACUUAACAGUAGUGGACUGGUCUGGGGAUCUGCCUUGCUUCUUUCAUACUUCAGUACCUGCUCCACUAAUUUUGCUGUUGAUGAGGGUAUGGUAUAUUUCAUACUUAGUUCAAAUUUCACACUGAUCUGGUCCCACUUAGCAAAUAUUGCAAGAACGUGAGAGUGUGAUUAUUACUUUUAAAAUUAUGUACGUAAAUUCAGUAGGAGCAAGUUGAAAAAAUACACCUCUGUCAUACACAGUGCAUGAUUUGUAACCAGGCUUGCUAAUGCAUGAUUGAAGUUUAAAUAACGUAUGAGUGAAGUGUAGAAUUAAGUUGAAGUUACUUGCAUGUGAUUUCCUUUACACGGGCAAGCAGGUAUAAAUACUGAUUUGAAAUUCCAUUGUUUUCAGUGAUGUUAAGGUCACUGGCUGCACAGACAGUAUGGGCUUCAUCCAAAUUCAGAUAAGGCUUGCAUCUGAUUGCUGUUGAACAGAUAAGCAUGUAUAAAUGGUGGGUACUUUGAAAUUCCGUUGCCUCCGGUGACCUCAUGGUCGGAGACUGCACAGAUAGUGGGGGAGGAGUGCGUUUGAUCGGAAUCAGUUGAUACUUGCGUGUGGAGAUUUAAGAUGAGAUGUCUUGCAUAUGAUUUCUUUUGAAAAGGCAAACAUGAUAUAUGAUGAGUACUUCAAAAUUCCAUUGUCUCACUUGACCUAAUCGUCGUUGACUGCACAGGUAGUGUGGGAGAAGGGUGUUUGAUCUGAAUCAGAUGAGACUUGAUUGUGGAGAUUUUAGUCGUGGUGUCUGCAUUGUGGGGUCUUUGGAAGGGACAGACAGGAAUAUAUGGUUAGUACAUCGAAAUUAAAUUAUCUCUGGUUACCUCAUGGUCGGAGACUGCAUAGAUAGUGUGCGAGAAAGGUGUUCGAUCUGAAUCAGAUGAGACUUGAGUGUGGAGAUUUAAG